rnacentral:tRNA from 1 species
GGGCUCAUGGUCCAAGAGUAAGACACCGGUCCUGCAAACCGGAGAUUCGGGCGCGAUUCCCGAUGGGUCCA